AUUGAACGCUGGCGGAAUGCUUUACACAUGCAAGUCGAACGGCAGCACGGACUUCGGUCUGGUGGCGAGUGGCGAACGGGUGAGUAAUGUAUCGGAAAGUGCCCAGUCGUGGGGGAUAACGUAGUGAAAAUUACGCUAAUACAGCUUACGAUCUAUGGAUGAAAGCGGGGGAUCGCACGACCUCGCGCGAUUUGAGCGGCCGGUAUCAGAUUAGGUGGUUGGUGGGGUAAAGGCGCACCAAGCCAACGAUCUGUAUCUGGUCUGAGAGGACGACCAGCCACAGUGGAACUGAGACACGGUCCAGACUCCUACGGGAGGCAGCAGUGGGGAAUUUUGGACAAUGGGCGAAAGCCUGAUCCAGCCAUUCCGCGUGCAGGAUGAAGGCCCUCGGGUUGUAAACUGCUUUUGUACAGAACGAAAAGGUUUCUACUAAUACUAGGAGCUCAUGACGGUACUGUAAGAAUAAGCACCGGCUAACUACGUGCCAGCCGCCGCAGUAA
rnacentral:rRNA from 1 species